rnacentral:rRNA from 2 species
UACGAAGGAUUCGAGCGUUAUCCGGAUUUAUUGGGUUUAAAGGGUGCGUAGGCGGACUGAUAAGUCAGUGGUGAAAGCCUGUUGCUUAACAACAGAACUGCCAUUGAUACUGCCAGUCUUGAGUACAGUUGAGGUAGGCGGAAUGUGUCAUGUAGUGGUGAAAUACUUAGAUAUGACACAGAACACCGAUUGCGAAGGCAGCUUGCUAAACUGUAACUGACGCUGAGGCACGAAAGCAUGGGGAGCAAACAGG